rnacentral:rRNA from 1 species
CGUGCAGGCGGUUUCGUAAGUCGGACGUGAAAGCUCCUGGCUUAACUGGGAGAGGCCGUUCGAAACUGCGAGACUUGAGGUCGGGAGAGGGACGUGGAAUUCCCGGUGUAGUGGUGGAAUGCGUAGAUAUCGGGAGGAACACCAGUGGCGAAGGCGGCGUCCUGGCCCGCACCUGACGCUAAGACGCGAAAGCGUGGGUAGCGAACG